ACCUGGCCAUGCGUUGCCACAGGUUGUCAGUGAAGAAGAGACACAAAGUACUUUGCUGGACCCAUCUCCAAGGGGUGUUAUCUUUCAUGAACCAAUUGGGGUUGUCCUUGAGCAAGCAAGCUUUGAAUUCUCCCAAUCACCUACUUCUCAAUUGCAUGAGGCACCUGAGGUCACAUCUGUUGCUGACCACUUUGAACAGGUACCUCAAAUAUACGAGGAGGGUUUCCUAGAAAUUGACGAUCUCAUUGGUCCUGAAACUUUG
rnacentral:lncRNA from 1 species